GCGAGUUUUAACUGAGCGUUCAGUUACUUGACGUAGACCCGAAACCGGGCGACCUACCCAUGAGCAGGAUGAAGCGAAAGUAAAAUUUCGUGGAGGUCCGAACCCACGAGCGUUGAAAAGCUCGGGGAUGACUUGUGGGUAGCGGUGAAAUUCCAAUCGAGCCCGGAGAUAGCUGGUUCUCCCCGAAAUAGCUUUAGGGCUAGCCUCAAGGUGAGAGAUACGGAGGUAGAGCACUGAAUGUCCUAGGGGGUAUUGCACCUACCGAAGACUAUCAAACUCCGAAUGCCGUCAUCUUAUACUUGGGAGUCAGACUGUGGGUGAUAAGAUUCAUAGUCGAAAGGGCAACAGCCCAGAUCGUCAGCUAAGGUCCCUAAAUGUAAGUUAAGUGGUAAAGGAUGUGGGAUUGCACAGACAACCAGGAUGUUGGCUUAGAAGCAGCCACUCAUUCAAAGAGUGCGUAAUAGCUCACUGGUCGAGUGAUCCUGCGCCGAAGAUUUCCGGGGCUAAAACUUACUACCGAAGCUACGGCAUCAGUAAUGAUGGGUAGGGGAGCUUCCCAUACGGGUUGAAGCAUGACCGUAAGGACAUGUGGACAGUAUGGGAGUGAGAAUGUUGGC
rnacentral:rRNA from 1 species